UGCUAUACAUGCAGUCGAACGAGUUUUGGUCGAUGAACGGUGCUUGCACUGUGAUUCAACUUAAAACGAGUGGCGGACGGGUGAGUAACACGUGGGUAACCUGCCCUUAAGUGGGGGAUAACAUUUGGAAACAGAUGCUAAUACCGCAUAAAUCCAAGAACCGCAUGGUUCUUGGCUGAAAGAUGGCGCAAGCUAUCGCUUUUGGAUGGACCCGCGGCGUAUUAGCUAGUUGGUGAGGUAACGGCUCACCAAGGCGAUGAUACGUAGCCGAACUGAGAGGUUGAUCGGCCACAUUGGGACUGAGACACGGCCCAAACUCCUACGGGAGGCAGCAGUAGGGAAUCUUCCACAAUGGACGCAAGUCUGAUGGAGCAACGCCGCGUGAGUGAAGAAGGCUUUCGGGUCGUAAAACUCUGUUGUUGGAGAAGAAUGGUCGGCAGAGUAACUGUUGUCGGCGUGACGGUAUCCAACCAGAAAGCCACGGCUAACUACGUGCCAGCAGCCGCGGUAAUACGUAGGUGGCAAGCGUUAUCCGGAUUUAUUGGGCGUAAAGCGAGCGCAGGCGGUUUUUUAAGUCUGAUGUGAAAGCCCUCGGCUUAACCGAGGAAGCGCAUCGGAAACUGGGAAACUUGAGUGCAGAAGAGGACAGUGGAACUCCAUGUGUAGCGGUGAAAUGCGUAGAUAUAUGGAAGAACACCAGUGGCGAAGGCGGCUGUCUGGUCUGUAACUGACGCUGAGGCUCGAAAGCAUGGGUAGCGAACAGGAUUAGAUACCCUGGUAGUCCAUGCCGUAAACGAUGAAUGCUAGGUGUUGGAAGGGUUUCCGCCCUUCAGUGCCGCAGCUAACGCAUUAAGCAUUCCGCCUGGGGAGUACGACCGCAAGGUUGAAACUCAAAGGAAUUGACGGGGGCCCGCACAAGCGGUGGAGCAUGUGGUUUAAUUCGAAGCAACGCGAAGAACCUUACCAGGUCUUGACAUCUUUUGAUCACCUGAAAAGAUCAGGUUUCCCCUUCGGGGGCAAAAUGACAGGUGGGUGCAUGGUUGUCGUCAGCUCGUGUCCUGAGAAUGUUGGGGUUAAGUCCCGCAACGAGCGCAACCCUUAUGACUAGUUGCCAGCAUUUGAGUUGGGCCUCCUAGUAAAAACUGCCGGUGACAAACCGAAGGAAGGGGGGGGGGAUAAAGUUCAAAUAAUUCUUGGCCCCUUUAAGACCGGGGGGUACCAA
rnacentral:rRNA from 2 species